ensembl:lncRNA
GUCACAUCCGGGUAGUAAGACCGUUCUCGGCCAGAUGCGGACUUCCUGUGAGACUCUGAGGACAGAAACUGCAGAACAACACGAGCUUUCACGUCAGACGCCACAAAAGUCUCCAGUGAAACCAGAUAAGGUCGCUGGUCGCUUUGACAAGAAGACACCGACAGGGUUCAUGACGUCACUGCACCAAACGACCAGGGAGCCUGCGCAUGCGCACACCUCAAGAAGUCAACAUCAUGACCUAAGACUUAAAUCAUAACUUCCACUCUUUAUGAGAAAGAGGCGGUUUCACGUCUCACACAUAAAGCAGGAAGUAAAGCGGCUCGGGGACUUUCCUCACUGCAGAAACAGCAGAUUAAAUCCAUAAUUCCCGUGUGAAGCGGCAGAGGUUGGUGUGAAGGUGUGAAGGUGUGGACUCUGCUAUGAAUCAGGCUGAGGACCCAGAGGACGGAGUCCCUCCCUCUGAAGCCCCUCUGUGUGGGGAACCUGACAGCCAGACCAAAGCUCAGAGGACCCAUCAGAGACCAGGACCUGGACCCAGCUGUGUGUCCAUGAAGAGUAACCGACUCUCUGGUGGAGGUUCUGGGUUUCUUGCUCCAGGGCCCUUCAGCAGUGUCCAGUGGUGGAGGGAGAGCUCCAUGGAGGACUUGGUGAGACCUGUUGGGACUAAACCAAACUGACUGGUGAAGAAAAUAGUGAGCUGAAAGACUGAGCUGUUGAUUCUCAGUGGGACCAGCAGGACCAGUAGACCUGAACCACUACAGGGAGUCAUGUGGUCCACAUCCAGACCUCACGUGAUGGACCUUUACCUUGUUUUGGUCUCUGUGAGGACGGACACCAUGUGAGCUGAUGCUUCAUGAUUAGAUGAUGAUGUGAUGAUGUAAUCUCAGUGUUUCUUUCAG